GAUGAACGCUGGCGGCGUGCCUAAUACAUGCAAGUCGAGCGAACGGACGAGAAGCUUGCUUCUCUGAUGUUAGCGGCGGACGGGUGAGUAACACGUGGAUAACCUACCUAUAAGACUGGGAUAACUUCGGGAAACCGGAGCUAAUACCGGAUGAUAUUUUGAACCGCAUGGUUCAAAAGUGAAAGACGGUCUUGCUGUCACUUAUAGAUGGAUCCGCGCUGCAUUAGCUAGUUGGUAAGGUAACGGCUCACCAAGGCAACGAUGCAUAGCCGACCUGAGAGGGUGAUCGGCCACACUGGAACUGAGACACGGUCCAGACUCCUACGGGAGGCAGCAGUAGGGAAUCUUCCGCAAUGGGCGAAAGCCUGACGGAGCAACGCCGCGUGAGUGAUGAAGGUCUUCGGAUCGUAAAACUCUGUUAUUAGGGAAGAACAUAUGUGUAAGUAACUGCGCACAUCUUGACGGUACCUAAUCAGAAAGCCACGGCUAACUACGUG
rnacentral:rRNA from 1 species